CUCGCGCGGUCGCGCCCCCUUCCCCCUUCCCCCGUCCUCCCGCAUUCCAGCCUCCACCUCGCCGCCGCCACCAACACCAGGCGAUUCCGGCGAGUUCCGGCGGCCCUCGCCGGAGCGCAGCACACCCACGAGCUCCCCUCGUGACGGUGCUUCCUUUCCUCCGGCUAGAUCUGCUCCUCACGGCCGCAAGCGCUCGCGCGCGACCCAUCCCCGCUGCUAGGGCUUCGGCUGCCCCCAACUCUGGUGAGCCACCCUCCUCCAUGGACGAGGACGACCACCACGGCCGCACAUGGUCGAGCUCACCGUCGUUUCCUCCGGUGCGGUGAUGGGCCAACGAGCUCCGCCUCCACGGCUCCUAGCUCGGCUUCUGUUCUCCAUGGACGAAUAUCAACUGGAAACAGCAAGCCAUCUCAAGGGAGGGGAUUUUCAAGUCACCCCACUUCCAAUCCAUGGAUGCUAUCCACAAGGACCAAGAUGAUGACGACCAGGAAGGAAGGAGCCCACGCCCGACCCCGACGACGGCGGUUUCAUUUGUGUGCCGGCGUCGACCACAACCUCCCUCUCUGUAAUAUGGUUGUGCUUUAUUUUAAUCAAAAGAAGUUCAUCCUCAAUUCACUCUGCUUAUAUCAUAAUUCAGUACCGACUCUUUCGGUCUUUCCUGCCUCCUAGCAUGCUUUUACUCUGCAUCUGCCACGUGAUACUUAUUGUUACUGUAAAAUAUGCUUGAAGCCAGUAACUGAUUACACUUUUAGUCACAUAUUCUCAAGGACCUCCAAGAAGUUGAGGUUCUGAAUAGGUUAUUAGUAUCUAACCCUGUUGAUAGCAAUUAGCUUUGUCCACUUACUGGGCUGUCUUUUUAGUGUUCUGAA